rnacentral:tRNA from 1 species
GUUGAAGUGGCCGAGUGGUUAAGGCGAUGGAAUGGAAAACUUUUGGGAUCUUCCCGCGCAGGUUCGAAUCCUGCCGACAUCG